rnacentral:tRNA from 2 species
GGGCUAUAGCUCAGCUGGGAGAGCGCUUGCAUGGCAUGCAAGAGGUCAGCGGUUCGAUCCCGUCAUCACCCACCA